GAUGCUUGCAUCUGAACUUAGUGGCGGACGGGUGAGUAACACGUGAGCAACCUGCCUUUCAGAGGGGGAAACGUUUGGAAACGAACGCUAAUACCGCAUAAAAUAUCGGAGUCGCAUGGCACUGAUAUCAAAGGAGCAAUCCGCUGAAAGAUGGGCUCGCGUCCGAUUAGGCAGUUGGCGGGGUAACGGCCCACCAAACCGACAAUCGGUAGCCGGACUGAGAGGUUGAACGGCCACAUUGGGACUGAGACACGGCCCAGACUCCUACGGGAGGCAGCAGUGGGGGGUAUUGCACAAUGGGGGAAACCCUGAUGCAGCGAUGCCGCGUGAAUGAAGACGGCCUUCGGGUUGUAAAGUUCUGUCGCAGGGGACGAAAAUGACGGUACCCUGCAAGAAAGCUCCGGCUAACUACGUGCCAGCAGCCGCGGUAAUACGUAGGGAGCAAGCGUUGUCCGGAAUUACUGGGUGUAAAGGGAGCGUAGGCGGGAGGAUAAGUUGAAUGUGAAAUCUAUGGGCUCAACCCAUAGCUGCGUUCAAAACUGUUCUUCUUGAGUGAAGUAGAGGCAGGCGGAAUUCCUAGUGUAGCGGUGAAAUGCGUAGAUAUUAGGAGGAACACCAGUGGCGAAGGCGGCCUGCUGGGCUUUUACUGACGCUGAGGCUCGAAAGCGUGGGUAGCAAACAGGAUUAGAUACCCUGGUAGUCCACGCGGUAAACGAUGAUUACUAGGUGUGGGUGGACUGACCCCAUCCGUGCCGGAGUUAACACAAUAAGUAAU
rnacentral:rRNA from 1 species